rnacentral:rRNA from 1 species
GAAAAUGGAUGGCGCUGAAGCGUUUUGCCUAUACGCUACCGUUACCGGCACGUGUGAUGCUAAAUUUUUAAUUUGGUAUCAUUAAGCCGUAACGAGUAGGACGUGCGCGACGGAGAGCGCAGAAGGGUCUGGGCGUGAGCCCGCUUGGAGCCUCCGUCGGUGCAGAUCUUGGUGGUAGUAGCAAAUACUCCAGCGAGGCCCUGGAGGACUGACGUGGAGAAGGGUUUCGCGUGAACAGUAGUUGCUCGCGAGUCAGUCGAUCCUAAGCUCAAGGAGAGAUCUUAUGUCGAUGUGGCGUGUUUUUUUAUAAUUUUUAAAAAUAAUGAAAAAUAACGCCCUUUGAGCGAAAGGGAAUCCGGUUCCUAUUCCGGAACCCGGCAGCGGAACCGUUUCAAUAAUCGUUCCCUCGUCUUUAAAAACGAGUGUUCGACGGGGUAACCCAAAGUGGCCUGAAGACGCCGCCGAGAGGUCCGGGAAGAGUUUUCUUUUCUGCCUGAGCGUUCGAGUUCCAUGGAAUCCUAUAGAAGGGAGAUAUGGUUCGGAACGCGAAGAGCACCGCAUUUGCGGCGGUGUCCGGAUACUCUCUGCGGACCUUGAAAAUCAGGUGAGGGAUGUACGUGGAGAUGUCGCGCCGGUUCGUACCCAUAUCCGCAGCAGGUCUCCAAGGUGAAGAGCCUCUAGUCGAUAGAAUAAUGUAGGUAAGGGAAGUCGGCAAAUUGGAUCCGUAACUUCGGAAUAAGGAUUGGCUCUGAGGACCGGGGCGUGUCGGGUUUGGACGGGAAGCGGAUGCGGCCGGUGCCGGGUCUGGUCGAUGUUCGUGCGUUAUGUUCGUUUUAGCGAGUUAGUAUUUUAAUAUAAUGCGGCCUCAAAAACUGUAUAUAUUUAAUAUGACACUCGCGAAAAUCGUCUUACGUUUCGGACUGGAUCCGGACCCGCGUUCUCCGGCCUUCCGCGGAUCUUCCUAGCCGUAAGGUCGUGUCGGUUUCGUUUCGUGCGCGAUCGGCACGAUUCUGUACGACCGCCGUUCAACGGUCAGCUCAGAACUGGCACGGACAAGGGGAAUCCGACUGUCUAAUUAAAACAAAGCAUUGCGAUGGCCCUCGCGGGUGUUGACGCAAUGUGAUUUCUGCCCAGUGCUCUGAAUGUCAACGUGAAGAAAUUCAAGCAAGCGCGGGUAAACGGCGGGAGUAACUAUGACUCUCUUAAGGUAGCCAAAUGCCUCGUCAUCUAAUUAGUGACGCGCAUGAAUGGAUUAACGAGAUUCCCACUGUCCCUAUCUACUAUCUAGCGAAACCACAGCCAAGGGAACGGGCUUGGGAGAAUCAGCGGGGAAAGAAGACCCUGUUGAGCUUGACUCUAGUCUGGCAUUGUAAGGAGACAUGAGAGGUGUAGCAUAAGUGGGAGAUCGUUUCGCGCGAUCGUCGCUGAAAAACCACUACUUUCAUUGUUUCAUUACUUACUCGGUUGGGCGGAAGCGGUGCGCGGUCGAUAAUAUCGGCGGGCGCACGGUGUUUCGUUCCAAGCGUGCAGAGUGGUGACGUGGCGGAAACGCUCGUCGCCGUUUAAAACUCCCGCGUGAUCCGGUUCGAGGACACUGCCAGGCGGGGAGUUUGACUGGGGCGGUACAUCUGUCAAAGAAUAACGCAGGUGUCCUAAGGCCAGCUCAGCGAGGACAGAACCUCGCGUGGAGCAAAAGGGCAAAACUGGCUUGAUCCAGAUGUUCAGUACGCAUAGGGACUGCGCCAGAAAAACAGUAUAGACUAUGUAAAUAUGUCCAUGCUACGUCAAGUUACCUAGCUCAU